rnacentral:rRNA from 1 species
CCUACGGGGGGCAGCAGCCGCGGUAAUACAGAGGGUGCGAGCGUUAAUCGGAUUUACUGGGCGUAAAGCGUGCGUAGGCGGCUUUUUAAGUCGGAUGUGAAAUCCCUGAGCUUAACUUAGGAAUUGCAUUCGAUACUGGGAAGCUAGAGUAUGGGAGAGGAUGGUAGAAUUCCAGGUGUAGCGGUGAAAUGCGUAGAGAUCUGGAGGAAUACCGAUGGCGAAGGCAGCCAUCUGGCCUAAUACUGACGCUGAGGUACGAAAGCAUGGGGAGCAAACAGGAUUAGAUACCCUAGUAGUC